rnacentral:lncRNA from 1 species
GUAUAUCUCCAUAUGGAACUUAUAAGAGAAAAGCGUUCAGAGUAAGAUGUUGCUGUUCCUUUAACAAUUUAUCUCAGAAGGUAAUUUUCUCCACUUCUUAGACAUCCAUACUCAAUGCACAAAAGCUCUUUUAUUGAAAGUUCCUGAUCCUCCUCAGGUCUGACAGCCUCCCUGACUUACUGGCAGGAAACUGUCUUCAUCAGGAGGAGCCUCUGGGCCUGGACGGAGUUCAGGGCAGAAACAGCCCAGUUUCUGCAGUAAUAUUUGUCCAGCGGUGGAAUUUUAAACAAUGCUGUCUUACCCAGGGGGCUCAGUUCACCUGGACAAGGAGUGUGGUCCAGGACGUGUGAUCAAGGGAGGUUUGAGGUGACUAUGGCGUGACUCUUUUGUUCAAUGAACUCUGCACACACUAGUAUUGGAGAAGGUCUCUGUCCU